CCUACGGGUGGCAGCAGUGAGGAAUAUUGGUCAAUGGGCGAGAGCCUGAACCAGCCAAGUCGCGUGAGGGAGUACUGCCCUAUGGGUUGUAAACCUCUUUUGUCGGGGAGCAAAAGCCGGACGUGUCCGGCUGUGAGAGUACCCGAAGAAAAAGCAUCGGCCAACUCCGUGCCAGCAGCCGCGGUAAUAAGGAGGAUGCGAGCGUUAUCGGGAUUUAUUGGGUUUAAAGGGUGCGCAGGCGGAUUUUUAAGUCAGCGGUAAAAUCGUGGGGCUCAACCCCAUCCAGCCGUUGAAACUGGGGAUCUAGAGUGUGCGAGAGGUAUGCGGAAUGCGUGGUGUAGCGGUGAAAUGCAUAGAUAUCACGCAGAACCCCGAUUGCGAAGGCAGCAUACCGGUGCACAACUGACGCUCAGGCACGAAAGCGUGGGUAUCGAACAGGAUUAGAUACCCCGGUAGUC
rnacentral:rRNA from 1 species